ensembl:lncRNA
GACAGCGUUGCCACACCGAGGGCCGCGGCUGCCGGGACCGGAAGUAAGGGGCCGGAAGCGCUAGCCGCUCGCUCCCGCUCCGCCGCCGUCGCCGCUCCGGGCACACCGCGCCUGCGCCGCCCGCCCACAGCGCAUGCGCGGUUCCGGCCGCCUGCCGAGAACAAAGCGCCGGCUGAGAAGCGCUGCGCAGGGCCUUCGAGUACGCAUGCGCGGUAAGCGGGAGGGCACAAAAAAGGAUGGAGCACCCCCUCCUAUUACGCCUGCGCAGAGAUGCAGCGGCCCUGCCUCGUUCCGCCGAGAACAAAAGUACCGAGGGGGUCCAGUGCGCAUACGUACAGUCUUAGCCCACGAGGAGGGGCUACACAGCGCACGCGCAAUCGCAGCCUUGGGGCGAACAAAGCGUCUGGGAGCGAUUGCAACGCAUGCUCUUUACAGCACCUCCCCCUCCCCCCUCCCCUGCCGUUCGACGCACAUGUGCGUCUUCUGCCGGCCCAGGGCAUGGACUGGCUGCCGCUGUGCGCAUGCGCGGGGCCUUGCCUGGCUUGGCCCUGGCCAGCAUGGGGGGGAUGGAGCCCUGGUUUGGGGUUACAGCACUGCCAGUUUCCUCCUGAUCUUGCCUGCAUGUUAGAUGUGCUGCUGACACACAAAGAUGCCUCUAAGAGCAGCAGGGCCAUCUGUGAAAUGCUGCCCUGAUGGAGAGGCAAUGCUGUUGCUGAGUUGGAAGAAGCAAGUAGGAGAUGCACAAAGUUUGAUGAGCAAGUGUUUCUGAGAAGAUGAUUACUGCAAGAUGAAUGUGAUGUUUUCAUAUAAAAGAAGGGAGCCAGAGGGGCAGAUAUCUCUGUUCCACACUCAACUGCAGAGGGUGUGGUGAGGUCGACUUCCCUGACUCUGGUGUGGCUCCUCUCUUUCUCUCCAUCUCAGUCCUGUAAGGUUGGUUCCCACAGGAAGGUAGCUCUUCUUUUAAGAAAUGUCAUUGUCCUUGAAAAUAACCCCGCAGCCAUUUGCAUAUUGCUCUGUUCAAAUCCUGGCUCCUUAUAUUCCUGGUUUGUUUCCUGUGCUCUCCUAACAGAAGGGAAUACUUGGGCUGAUAGCCCAGCUUUCUCUGUCAUCACCGCCCCGGGCAUCAUAGUUGCAUGGUGACCCACUUCCAGCACCUAAAACUUAAGAGAGUAAAUGGUUCCCCUGUCCUCUGUGGCAGAAUUUCAGCAGCAGAUAUGGAGUCCUGCUAAUCUUUCUGUCAUGCUUGGUAUUUUCCUGCCAUGGGCUGGGCUCAUCACAUCAUUCUCUUUUUUCCACUUUACCUGAGAGGCUCACAAUUUUAUUUCCAGUGGUGGUUUUUUUUGCAGUCAGCAAUCCAGCAACUCCCAUUUCUACAGAGCUGAGAAAUUAGCUGGACUGGGGAGGAAAGAACACAAAGUUUGUAGCAUCUCAGGUGAAGCAAGUCCUCCCAGGUAACCCCCAUCUUAUGCUGGGAACCCAACUUGCAGAAACAAGCUAACUCCCUCCAUCAGUCAGUUGUGGCAUAUAACGGCCACCUCCAUCUUCAUCUACACUUGUGAUUCCCAACCAGGAUGCCUUGAGAUCCGUUCAACUGUGCUGCAGAGCAUUAGCACAGCUAGGUGUCCAGACCUGAUUCACAAAACCGAUCUAGAGAUUUCAAACAGGGCU